AUAUUUACCUGGCGUAGGGUUACCGUGAUCAUGCAGGCGGUUUCCCCAAGGUGAAACUGCUUCGUUGCACUGCGGAGUGGUUGACCCUUGCGAUUAUUUUUACUUUUUAUAAGUUUCACUGCUACCGUGUGUGACUUGCACUGCACACACACU
rnacentral:snRNA from 9 species